rnacentral:piRNA from 1 species
UGCCUAGUGUAUUAGACUGUUCUCAUGU